rfam:Candidatus Altiarchaeales archaeon WOR_SM1_86-2 WORSMTZ_18210, whole genome shotgun sequence.
AGGAUGUGUAAAUUAAAUCACAUAGUGGAUGGCUUGGCUUGAACGCCGAAAAAGAACACGGCAAGCGGUGAUACGCCUUGGCGAGGCGCAUGCUGCCUUUGAACCAAGGAUUUUCGAAUAAUUUGGGAUUCUUUGGAAUCCUAAAGGGAAACAUGGAGGAUUGAAACAUCUUAGUAUCCAUAGGAAAAGAAAGCAAUAGCGAUUCGGGAAGUAGAGGCGAUCGAAAUCCGAGAAGAGCAAACUGAAUCUGUUUGUGAAAGCAAACAGGGAUGUGGUGUGGCUCUAAUAUGCCUUAGUGGAUGAGAUGAGGUUCCCUGGAACGGGACGCUUAAAAGGGUGAUAGCCCCGUAAUCUAAGUCCAUAUGGCUUUUUAGAGUCCCAGAGUAAUGGGCGUUGGAUAUCGCUCAUGAAGAUUGGAGACAUCAACUCCAAACUCUAAAUACGUUUCAAGACCGAUAGCGCACUAGUACCGUGAGGGAAAGCUGAAAAGUAUCCUUGACAGGAGGUGAAAAGCAUCUGAAACUAUGUGGUGAUGGCUAGAUAUUGUUGCUUACAAUUAUGCGAAGGAUACGAGCAUAAUUUUGGCAAUCAUAUCGUCCGUCUGGAAACACGUGGCAGGGAGUGUACGUAUGCGGUGAUCCGAAAGGAUAAGCGAAAGCAAUUGUCCGCAGCAUUUCGGUGUGAGGGACAUGGUUGAUGAGGCCACGAAUCGCAUGAGUACGACCUGAAGCCAUACGAUCUAACCCGGGGCAGGAUGAAGUCUCUCAUCUGAGAGAUGGAAGUCCGCAAGAGGUUCUGAGCUCAACUCGUUCUCGUGACCUCGGGAUAGGAGUGAAAUGCUAAUCGAGUAUGGCAAUAGCAGGUUCCUUCCGAAAUGGACCUCAGUCCAUUCUGACUGGAGAUAGAUAUCUAUGUAGAGCACUGAUUAGGUAGUAAGGGGGCGAGAGCCCUCCCUAUCUUGUCAAACUCCGAAUUGGUUAUCAUCAUAGAAGGUUGGAAACGGGGCAACGGGGUAAGCUUGUUGUCCGAGAGGGAAAUAACCCUGAUUGUGGUUAAGGUCCCAAAGUGCUGGCUAAGUGUAAGCAAGGGCGUUUUAGGUCUAAGACAGUGAGAAGGUUGGCUUAGAAGCAGCCAUCCUCUAAGGAGUUCGUAACAGAUCACUCACCGAGUCUUAGAGCCCCAAAAAUGGACGGGACUAAGCCAGUCACCGAUACCACAACGCUCGAUAAGAGAUCGAGUAGGAAGGUGUCUUGAGUGAGCAGAAGUUUUUCCAUAAGGAAGAAUGGAUCAUUCAAGAUUAAGAAUCCUGCUGGUAGUAACAGCAAAGUAUCAUGAGAAUUGAUACCACCUGAAGGGCAAGGGUUCCUCGACAAUGUUCAUCAGUCGAGGGUUAGUCGAUCCUAAGGUAUUCGUAAUUCGUAUAACGAAAGGGAAGCAGGUUAACAUUCCUGCACCAUAUGAUUACACUCGGUAACGAAGGUCAUUUUUUGACGCUUCUGGAUAGUCCAAAUACUCCACCACCUUUAUGGAGGUGGCGUAUCUAAGCAAGAUAAAGUUGUGGAGUUCCGUAACGGAGAGAUGCAACUUAAACUGCAAAUGGCUUCCAUUAGGAAGUUUGAAUGGCUCCAGGAGCCCGUGAAAAGAAAAAUGAAAGGACAUCAUAUGAUCGUACCCAGAACUGACACUGGUGCCCCAAGGUUAAAAACCUCAGGUGUGGCGAGAUAACUCUGUUCAGGGAAGUCGGCAAAUUGGCUCCGUGGCUUUGGUAUAAGGAGCGUCUAUCCUCGAGUAGAGGGUAGAUUUCAAUAACAAGGGGAUUCCGACUGUUUAAUAAAAACAUAGGUCCCUGCAAGUUCGAAAGGAUGUGUAUAGGGGCCGAUGCCUGCCCAGUGGCGGUAUCUGAAACUUCGGUUCAACGAAGCGAAGGACCGUUAAACGGCGGGGGUAACUAUGACCCUCUUAAGGUAGCGUAAUACCUUGCCGCUUAAUUGGCGGCUUGCAUGAAUGACUUAACGAGAAUCCUGCUGUCCCGAACAGAGGCUCGGUGAACCUACUUAUCUGGUGAGAAGGCCAGGGAAUUCCGGUGGGGCGCGAAGACCCCGUGGAGCUUCACUACAGUUUGUUGUUGGGAUGUGAUAAUGGUUGCGCAGUGUAGGUGGGAGAUGUUAAAGCAAUCCUUGCGGGGAUUGUGUAGUCAACGAUGAGACACCACCCUUUUAUUGUCGCAUUUCUAACUCGAAAGAGGACACCAACAGGCAGGUAGUUCGGCUGGGGCGGUACACCGUUGAAAACUUAUCAACGGUAUCCAAUGGUUGGCUCAAGUGGGUCAGAAACCCACUGUAGAGGAUAAGACCAAAAGCCAGCCUGAUUAGAUUCUGACUAGCAAGGAAUCUUAACUCGAAAGAGAAGUCUAGCGAACCCUGACACCCCCUUGAUGGGGGUUCAGGCUGAUGGAAAAGCUACCCCGGGGAUAAUGGAGUUGUCGCGGGCAAGAGUACACAUCGACCCCGCGGCUUGCUACUUCGCUGUCGGCUCUUUCUAUCCUGGGUGUGCACAAGCACCCAAGGGUGAGGUUGUUCGCCUAUUAAAAGGAAACGUGAGCUGGGUUUAGAACGUCGCGAGACAGUUUGGGGGCACCUACCGGAGUUGUUGUCUACUUGAGGAGAAGGUUCAUUUAGUACGAGAGGAACAAUGGGCCGCAGCCUCUAGUCUACCAGUUGUCUAACAAGGCAUUGCUGGGUAGCCACGCUGUAAUUUGAUAAGGGCUGAAAGCAUCUAAGCCCGAAGCAAUCCCCAAAAAGAAGUAGACUGAGUCUCCUAUAGAAGAUAGGUUUGAUAGGCGAGAGGUGUAAGCACUAAGGCAACGAGGUGUUAAGCCCACUCGCACUAAUCGAUUCAAUUACACAUCCU